ACAUGUUGAUUUUAUUGAUACAAAUGUUGAACGAACACAUUUAUGAAAGAAAACUUUAUUAUGAA